rnacentral:tRNA from 1 species
GGCGAUGUAGUCAAGCGGUAAGACAGGGGACUGCAAAUCCUUAAUUCCCCAGUUCGACUCUGGGUGUCGCCU